AUCCAGCUGACCAGUCCUAAAUAGGACGAAACAUGCACUCUGGAU
rnacentral:hammerhead_ribozyme from 1 species